GAUGAACGCUGGCGGUGUACCUAAUACAUGCAAGUCGAGCGAACGGACGAGAAGCUUGCUUCUCUGAUGUUAGCGGCGGACGGGUGAGUAACACGUGGAUAACCUACCUAUAAGACUGGGAUAACUUCGGGAAACCGGAGCUAAUACCGGAUAAUAUUUUGAACCGCAUGGUUCAAAAGUGAAAGACGGUCUUGCUGUCACUUAUAGAUGGAUCCGCGCUGCAUUAGCUAGUUGGUAAGGUAACGGCUUACCAAGGCAACGAUGCAUAGCCGACCUGAGAGGGUGAUCGGCCACACUGGAACUGAGACACGGUCCAGACUCCUACGGGAGGCAGCAGUAGGGAAUCUUCCGCAAUGGGCGAAAGCCUGACGGAGCAACGCCGCGUGAGUGAUGAAGGUCUUCGGAUCGUAAAACUCUGUUAUUAGGGAAGAACAUAUGUGUAAGUAACUGUGCACAUCUUGACGGUACCUAAUCAGAAAGCCACGGCUAACUACGUG
rnacentral:rRNA from 1 species